rnacentral:rRNA from 1 species
CAGUCGCCGCGGGAAUACGAAGGGUGCAAGCGUUAAUCGGAAUUACUGGGCGUAAAGCGUGCGUAGGCGGUUUGUUAAGUCUGUUGUGAAAUCCCCGGGCUCAACCUGGGAAUGGCAAUGGAUACUGGCAAGCUAGAGUGUGUCAGAGGAUGGUGGAAUUCCCGGUGUAGCGGUGAAAUGCGUAGAGAUCGGGAGGAGCAUCAGUGGCGAAGGCGGCCAUCUGGGACAACACUGGCGCUGAGGCACGAAAGCGUGGGGAGCAAACAGGAUUAGAUACCCCUGUAGUCCCUGUCUCUUAUAC